UACAGAGGGUGCGAGCGUUAAUCGGAAUUACUGGGCGUAAAGCGCGCGUAGGCGGCUUUGCAAGUCGGGUGUGAAAUCCCCAGGCUCAACCUGGGAACUGCAUUCGAGACUGCAUUGCUAGAGUAUGGGGAGGAAGGAGGAUUGACGUUCGGUGUGAGCUGGAUGAAUCGUAGAUAUCGGAAGGAACAUCAGUGGCGAAAGCGACUUCCUGGACCAAUACUGACGCUCAUGUGCGAAAGCGUGGGGAGCAAACAGG
rnacentral:rRNA from 1 species